rfam:Glomerella graminicola M1.001 genomic scaffold supercont1.12, whole genome shotgun sequence.
GGCCGGCUGGCGUAAUGGUAGUGCUUCAGACUUCUAUGGAAUAGUCAUCUGAAGGUUGCGGGUUCGAGCCCCGCGUUGGUCA